rnacentral:misc_RNA from 1 species
GGAAGGAUCAUUAAAACGUUCCAUAACGUAUACCUUGGUGAACUGUUUAACCGUCCCAUUCUGGGAUCUGGCUGUAAAGUACAGGAAUGCGAUGCAGUAGGGGUUUCGCUGAACUUUCGGGUUCGGUGAGUCCUUGCGCCUGUACCCUCAACUGUUACCGGUUGGAGCCUUUUCCAGAAUCUUUAACUACUGUGUCUUUCAUUUUAACCCCAUUUCUACUUUUUGUCUAACUAUAAUAAAUUAUUAAAUUUAAGAACAAUUCUUAGCAACGGAUAUCUUGGUUCUCGUAACGAUGAAGAACGCAGCGAAAUGCGAUACGUAAUGCGAAUUGCAGAAUUCAGUGAAUCAUCAAAUCUUUGAACGCAACUUGCGCCCUUUGGUUAGCCCAGAGGGCAUACUUCUCUGAGUAUCGUUUCAAACCAAACUCGCCUGCGUGCUUGAAAUACAGUACGUCUCUGGCGGAUACUGAGUGUCAUCGGAAUUUAAACGACGAUGUCACUUCAAAUGAAUGGCGCUUAAGAUCAACACGAUGAGACCUUCACGGGUUUCACCUUGCUGAUGUUUGAUAAAAGCUCACUCCGGUGAACUCAUUUCAUCAUUGGUAAAGGAGGGUUGCUUCGAGAGUGUUCACAAAGACAAACUAAGAUGGGGCAACCUAUCUUUGACUCUGAUCUCAGAUGAAGUAAGAUUACCCGCCGAAUUUAAGCAUAUAAUUAAGCGGAGGAAAAGAAACUAACAAGGAUUCCCCUAGUAACGGCGAGUGAAGCGGGAAGAGCUCAAAGUUAAGAUCGGCGCUCUUAGCGGGGUGUCCGAAUUGUAAUCUAGAGACAUUCAUCCAGCUGUGACCUGGGUAUAAAUCUUUUUGAAACAGGGUAUCAUAGAGGGUGAGAAUCCCGUCUUUGACCUGGAGAUCGCAGCGUACGGAGGGUGCUCAACGAGUCGAAUAGCUUGGGAAUGCUGUUCUAAAUGGGUGGUAAAUUUCAUCUAAAGCUAAAUAUUGACGAGAGACCGAUAGCGAACAAGUACCGUGAGGGAAAGAUGAAAAGAACUUUGAAAAGAGAGUUAAAAAGUACUUGAAAUUGUUAAGAAGUAAGCACUGGAAACCAGUUGUGCCGGCUACUAUAUUCCACUCGGUGAUUUUUGGGCGUGGUUGGCGGGAGCGUAAGCCCUGCUGGUUAUGCCUGGGGGUCAUCGGGUGCAUCUGUGGUGGUUGGUGAGUCAAGAUCAGGUAGGUCUGGAGGAGAAAGCGGUCUGAAGGUACUUCUCUUCGGGGAAGACUAAUCUGCAGGCUGUGCUACUCUGGGACUGCCUGAGGAAACAUAAGACAAGGCGCGCCGCAAGGCAGCCGGUGCGGGAUCCUGGAUUCAUCGGUGGGGGGGAGAAUAAUUUCUGCCUUUUGCCGGUGGGUGUACUGGUUCUGCACAGGACAGCGUCUUCGCGAUCUUGACGAAAUGGUUUUCAUUGACCCGUCUUGAAACACGGACCAAGGAGUCUAACAUAUAUGCGAGUAUUUGGGUGUGAAAACCCUGGUGCGCAAUGAAAGUGAAGGCAGUCUCGUACUGCUGAGGUAGGAACGCAAGGGCACUAUCGACCGAUCGUUCACUUGUGAAAGAUUUGAGUAAGAGCAUAUCUGUUGGGACCCGAAAGAUGGUGAACUAUGCCUGAACAGGGUGAAGCCAGGGGAAACUCUGGUGGAGGCUCGUAGCGAUACUGACGUGCAAAUCGUUCGUCUGAUUUGGGUAUAGGGGCGAAAGACUAAUCGAACUAUCGUAGUAGCUGGUUCCCGC